AUUGAACGCUGGCGGCAGGCCUAACACAUGCAAGUCGAGCGAGCGGCGGACGGGUGAGUAAUGUAUGGGGACUGCCCGAUAGAGGGGGAUAACUACUGGAAACGGUGGCUAAUACCGCAUACUAUCGGAUAACCCAUAUGGGAUUAGCUAGUAGGUGGGGUAAAGGCUCACCUAGGCGACGAUCUCUAGCUGGUCUGAGAGGAUGAUCAACCAGACUGGGACAUAAACACGGCGCAGACUCCUACGGGGACGGCAGUGGGGAGUAUUGCACGAUGGGCGCAAGCCUGAUGCAGCCAUGCCGCGUGUAUGAAGAAGGCCUGAGGAUUGUAAAGUACUUUCAGCGAGGAGGCGUUACCCGCAGAAGAAGCGCCGACUAACUCCGUGCCAGCAGCCGCGGUAAUUC
rnacentral:rRNA from 1 species